CACGUAGGGCGCAAGCGUUGUCCGGAAUUAUUGGGCGUAAAGAGCUCGUAGGCGGUCUGUUGCGUCCGCUGUGAAAACUCGGGGCUUAACCCCGAGCCUGCAGUGGAUACGGGCAGACUAGAGGUAGGUAGGGGAGAAUGGAAUUCCCGGUGUAGCGGUGAAAUGCGCAGAUAUCGGGAGAACACCGGUGGCGAAGGCGGUCUGCUGGGCCUGACGUGACGCUGAG
rnacentral:rRNA from 1 species